CUAAUCCCCAGUUUCUGUGAGUGUGGCCUUAUUUGGAAAUAGAGUCUCUGCAGAUGUAAUCAAGUUAAGACAAGGUCAUCGUGAAUUAGGUGUCCAAUGAUUGAUGUCCUUAUGAGAAGAGAGGGAGAUUUGAAUACAGACACAGAGACACAAACGGAGGGAAGAAGGCUGGUGACUGAGUCCUCGUCCCCCAUCUCCUAUGCCUGCACAGAGGAGAACUCUUUGUAAACAUCAAGUGUCAUGACCAUCAGCCCCUGGAAAACAUCUGGUCUGCCUUCACUAGAGGACCAUUUUCAAUUACUUUGGGGAUAAGAAGAUUGGCCCUGAUGGAAAGUGAAUUGCUCAUGAGAUCCAGUCAAUGAAAGAAAAAAAGAAAACUGUACUUUAGCUCAGGAACUAGAAUAAAGUUUCCAAAAAACA
rnacentral:lncRNA from 10 species